rnacentral:rRNA from 1 species
CCUACGGGAGGCAGCAGUGAGGAAUAUUGGUCAAUGGACGCAAGUCUGAACCAGCCAUGCCGCGUGCAGGAAGACGGCUCUAUGAGUUGUAAACUGCUUUUGUACGAGGGUAAACGCAGAUACGCGUAUCUGUCUGAAAGUAUCGUACGAAUAAGGAUCGGCGAACUCCGGGCCAGCAGCCGAGGUACUCACGAGGAUUCAAGCGUUACCCGGAUUUAUUGGGUUUAAGGGGUGCAUAGGCGGUGGGAUAAGGUAGAGGUGAAAUCCCGAGGCGCAACCUCGGAAUUGCCUCUGAGACUGUUCGGCUAGAGAGUAGUUGCGGUAGGCGGAAUGUAUGGUGUAGCGGUGAAAUGCUUAGAGAUCAUACAGAACACCGAUUGCGAAGGCAGCUUACCAAGCUACUUCUGACGUUGAGGCACGAAAGCGUGGGGAGCAAAUAGGAUUAGAUACCCGAGUAGUC